rnacentral:rRNA from 1 species
AAGUCGUAACAAGGUCUCCGUAGGUGAACCUGCGGAGGGAUCAUUACACAAAUAUGAAGGCGGGCUGGAACCUCUCGGGGUUACAGCCUUGCUGAAUUAUUCACCCUUGUCUUUUGCGUACUUCUUGUUUCCUUGGUGGGUUCGCCCACCACUAGGACAAACAUAAACCUUUUGUAAUUGCAAUCAGCGUCAGUAACAAAUUAAUAAUUACAACUUUCAACAACGGAUCUCUUGGUUCUGGCAUCGAUGAAGAACGCAGCGAAAUGCGAUAAGUAGUGUGAAUUGCAGAAUUCAGUGAAUCAUCGAAUCUUUGAACGCACAUUGCGCCCUUUGGUAUUCCAAAGGGCAUGCCUGUUCGAGCGUCAUUUGUACCCUCAAGCUUUGCUUGGUGUUGGGCGUCUUGUCUCUAGCUUUGCUGGAGACUCGCCUUAAAGUAAUUGGCAGCCGGCCUACUGGUUUCGGAGCGCAGCAUAAGUCGCACUCUCUAUCAGCAAAGGUCUAGCAUCCAUUAAGCCUUUUUUUCAACUUUUGACCUCGGAUCAGGUAGGGAUACCCGCUGAACUUAAGCA